AGCUCAGCAUUGGGUGUAAAGCGUGCGCAGGCGGUUUUGUAAGACAGAGGUGAAAUCCCCGGGCUCAACCUGGGAACUGCCUUUGUGACUGCAAGGCUGGAGUGCGGCAGAGGGGGAUGGAAUUCCGCGUGUAGCAGUGAAAUGCGUAGAUAUGCGGAGGAACACCGAUGGCGAAGGCAAUCCCCUGGGCCUGCACUGACGCUCAUGCACGAAAGCGUGGGGAGCAAACA
rnacentral:rRNA from 1 species